rnacentral:rRNA from 1 species
UGCUCCCUUAGGUCAGCGGCGGACGGGUGAGUAACACGUGGGUAACCUGCCUGUAAGACUGGGAUAACUCCGGGAAACCGGGGCUAAUACCGGAUGCUUGAUUGAACCGCAUGGUUCAAUCAUAAAAGGUGGCUUUUAGCUACCACUUACAGAUGGACCCGCGGCGCAUUAGCUAGUUGGUGAGGUAACGGCUCACCAAGGCGACGAUGCGUAGCCGACCUGAGAGGGUGAUCGGCCACACUGGGACUGAGACACGGCCCAGACUCCUACGGGAGGCAGCAGUAGGGAAUCUUCCGCAAUGGACGAAAGUCUGACGGAGCAACGCCGCGUGAGUGAUGAAGGUUUUCGGAUCGUAAAACUCUGUUGUUAGGGAAGAACAAGUACCGUUCGAAUAGGGCGGCACCUUGACGGUACCUAACCAGAAAGCCACGGCUAACUACGUGCCAGCAGCCGCGGUAAUACGUAGGUGGCAAGCGUUGUCCGGAAUUAUUGGGCGUAAAGCGCGCGCAGGCGGUUUCUUAAGUCUGAUGUGAAAGCCCCCGGCUCAACCGGGGAGGGUCAUUGGAAACUGGGGAACUUGAGUGCAGAAGAGGAGAGUGGAAUUCCACGUGUAGCGGUGAAAUGCGUAGAGAUGUGGAGGAACACCAGUGGCGAAGGCGACUCUCUGGUCUGUAACUGACGCUGAGGCGCGAA